GAUGAACGCUAGCGGCAGGCCUAAUACAUGCAAGUCGGACGGGAUUCCGGAGCUUGCUUCUGAUGAGAGUGGCGCACGGGUGCGUAACACGUAUGUAACCUACCUUUAUCAGGGGGAUAGCCUCUCGAAAGAGAGAUUAAGCCCGCAUAAAAUCACAGCACAGCAUUGUGUAAUGAUCAAAUAUUUAUAGGAUAAGGAUGGGCAUGCGGAACAUUAGCUAGAUGGCGGGGUAACGGCCCACCAUGGCGACGAUGUUUAGGGGAUCUGAGAGGAUGGCCCCCCAGAGUGGGACUGAGACACGGACCAGAGUGCUACGGGAGGCAGCAGUAAGGGAGAUUGGUGAAUGGGCGGAAGCCUGAACCAGCCAUGCCGCGUGCAGGAAGACGGCCCUACGGGUUGUAAACUGCUUUUAUAAGGGAAUAAACCCAGAUACGUGUAUCUGGCUGAAUGUACUGGAAGAAUAAGGAUCGGCUAACUCCGUG
rnacentral:rRNA from 1 species